rnacentral:rRNA from 1 species
UACAGAGGGGGCAAGCGUUUGUUCGGAAUUACUGGGCGUAAAGGGCGCGUAGGCGGCCCGCUAAGUCGAACGUGAAAUCCCCGAGCUCAACUCGGGAACUGCGUCCGAUACUGGCGGGCUUGAAUCCGGGAGAGGGAUGCGGAAGUUCCGGGUGGAGUGGUGAAAUGCGUAGAUAUCCGGAGGAAUACCAAAGGCGAAGGCAGUGUCCUGGCUGGCAUCUGACGCUGAGGCGCGAAAGCUAGGGGAGCGAACAGGAUUAG